GGGCCCGUCGUCUAGUGGCAGGAUGCCGCCCUCACACGGCGGUGGUCCCGGGUUCGAGUCCCGGCGGGCCCACCA
rnacentral:tRNA from 2 species